rnacentral:rRNA from 1 species
AGCGUAGACGGAUGGACAAGUCUGAUGUGAAAGGCUGGGGCUCAACCCCGGGACUGCAUUGGAAACUGCCCGUCUUGAGUGCCGGAGAGGUAAGCGGAAUUCCUAGUGUAGCGGUGAAAUGCGUAGAUAUUAGGAGGAACACCAGUGGCGAAGGCGGCUUACUGGACGGUAACUGACACUGAGGCGCGAAAGCGUGGGGAGCAAACA